rnacentral:lncRNA from 1 species
CAACAAUCUUCUAAUAGUAGCAGGUUCACUUACUGUUUGAUAGUGUAGAAGUACAGGGAAUCCUUUGGUGACUGGAAUCUCAAUAUUGAAGAUGAGAAUCCGAGCCCUGAAUCGAGUGCAAACUUUAACAGGUUCCUUGGGAUCACAAAAUACACAGCCAACAUUGAUUUUGAUGAUAUCCAUGCCGGUCAAAGUGAGACUAACGUGAUCUCCUGCUGCAGCCCAAUCAACCGGUUCAUCGUGAAGUGUGAUUCCUUUUGCAGUGCAAGUUUCAUUGGGAGGCAU